AAUAAAUCUCUCUGCUUCUCCACCCCAUUGUGGUCAUUGGCGCGAUGCAUACCGGGCAACAAACCCAGCUGUUGCUUGCCUCGGGCACUCGUGCAGGCAACAGUUCUUGGCGUCCCUGGGUGGGCCUCGAGGCUGCUAUUUAGCUUUGCCCAGACCCCUCCCGGCGGUUGAGGAUUGCGGCGACAACGGACGCCCAGCACGCACCGGUGAGUUCAUCGGGAGGCCUCGGAGGAGACGCGAUUUGCUCGACCCCGGAGGGCACAACGCUGCAACACGCCCCUAUAGUGGAGAAGCAACUGCAGGGACGGUAUACCAAAGACUUCCAGCCUCUUCCAUUGGAUACCCCUGUCCACUCCUUGCAGCCAGGUGACUCCGUGCUUGUUCGUACCUGGAAGGACGAGCCUCUCCAAGAGAAGUGGAAGGGACCCCACACCGUCCUGCUGGUUUCCCACACGGCGGCAAAGGUCAAGGGACACAAAAAGUGGAUCCAUUACUCUCGCCUAAAGGUGGUGUCUACUCCUCUACCAGCGGAACAGUGGACCGUCCAGCCCAUCACCACGUCACCCUCCGACGAUCUUGGACUCAAAUUAUUGUUUAAAAAGACAUAAGCACGGGGGGGAGGGGCUACAAGGGCAUAUACACCAUGAGGUCCCUCAUAGUGGGUGCCAUUUGCCUGGUACUCCCCGUCUCUGAAGAAGGGAUGGAUGGGGACUGUUAAUUUGAAUGUAAAUAUCUAUAUCAAAAUCGCCUUUGCCAGGGAAUUUAAUUUGUCCCACUGCUGGAUAUGUUCUCAGAUCCCCUACCAUGCAGCCAGCUUUCCUUGGAGGGCAACCCCCCACAACUGGUCAGACCUCUGUAAUGGGUGGAUAAAAGCAAACGCCACUCGGUUGCAAACGCGGCCCACCUCCCAUCGGGCCGUCACUGGCAUCAGCGGUCCCUGUAUGCCACCCCCGAACCCAUUAGCGAGGAAGAUAGAUUCGGUUUGAUCCUUCUCCCAGCAUACGGGGUGGAUAGAUUGGCCAAGCUCUAUCGCCAGCUCUCUGUAUUCCUCACCAAGUUCGCCAGUGAUACCUUGGCCAUAGAGAGGAGCCUCAACACAGAACUUUAUCAACUCCGGUUGUUGUCCCUGCAAAACCACCAAGCCCUAGAUUACCUUUUGGCUGCACAGGGCAGGGUGUGUGCCCUGAUU